GUUUUUUCAUUAUAAUUAUUAUUAUAUUGUAUUAUAUUAUAUGACUGUUUUUUUCUUUUGUUUUUUCUUUUUAAUUUUUUUAAUGAAUUUGUUUUGUUAAUGUUAAUUUUUUUUUUAUUUAAUUAUCAUAUUUUCAUGAUACGAAUCUCGGGUUUGAUAGGUUAACCUGAUUUAACGAGUUAUUUUUUUUCAUUUAGUUUAGUUUGUUAAAGUUAAUUUUCUUUCUAUUUAAUUAUUAGAUUUUCAUGACAUGUAUCCUGGGCUUGACGGGUUAACUUGGUUUGAUGGGUUAACCCGG
rnacentral:lncRNA from 1 species